CCCUGGACGAGUCUUCACAGGUUAUGCUGGGUGGCAGUGAGUUAUGAAGGCGUAUCCUAAUCUCUAAAGUAAAACUAAACACGAUCACUAAGCAGAGUAUAGGUUAAAAAGCAACAACAGAUGCAAGGAAUCAUUUAACACCUGAUUAAUAUAAAAGAAGGCCAGAAAGGAAAAACAAGGAUGAACAGAAAACACGUAGCCAGAUGACACCGAAAUCCAAAUCAUCAGCAAUUACACUAAAAAUAAAUGAACUGAACACUCAAGAGGCAAAGACUGUCAGACUGAAAAAAGAAAGAGGAACUAACUCUAUACUAUUAAUAACAGACACACUUUAAACAUAAAAGACAGAAGUCAGGCGCCGUGGCUCACACCCGUAAUCCCAGCACUUUGGGAGGCCAAGGCAGGGUGACCACUUGAGCCCAGGAGUUCUAGACCAUCCUGAGCAACACAGCAAGACUUUGUCUCUACCAAAAAAUAAUAAUAAUAAUAAUAACAAUUAAUUUAAAAAAAUUGCAGUGGCACGCACCUAUAGUCCUAACUACUUCGGAGGCUAAGGCAAGAGGAUCUCUUGAGCCCCAGUGCUCAAGGCUGCAGUGAGCCGUGACCGCACCACCACACUCCAGCCCGAGUGACAGAGCAAGACCUUGUCUCUGAAUGAAUGAAUAUAAGAACAGAGAUAAGCUAAAAUUAAAAGGAUGAAAAAAGACAUACCACACAAACACUGAUCAAAAGAGCUGGGAUGGCUGCCUCAACAUCAGACCAAUUAAUUAGACCACAAAAAGACCAACAGGAAACGUCCUACUUAAUGGUGAAAUGUCAGAAACUUUUUCUCCCACAUCAACACGGUAACACCCACACUCACUGCUGCUGAUGAUUGUAGCUAAUGCAAAAAGGCAAAAAUAAAGAAAUUAAAGAAAUAAAAG
rnacentral:lncRNA from 1 species